UCCCUGGUAGUAUAUCGGUUUACUACACGCGCCUGUCAUUUCGCCUCUUGUAUAAAAUGGAUGCACGCGCGAAAGCUGGGUUCGACUCCCAGCCAGGGAG